AGAGUUUGAUCCUGGCUCAGGACGAACGCUGGCGGCACGCUUAACACAUGCAAGUCGAACGAGAGAAGAGGAGCUUGCUUUUCUGAUCUAGUGGCGGACGGGUGAGUAACACGUGAGCAAUCUGCCUUUCAGAGGGGGAUACCGAUUGGAAACGAUCGUUAAUACCGCAUAACAUAAUUGAACCGCAUGAUUUGAUUAUCAAAGAUUUAUCGCUGAAAGAUGAGCUCGCGUCUGAUUAGCUAGUUGGUAAGGUAACGGCUUACCAAGGCGACGAUCAGUAGCCGGACUGAGAGGUUGAUCGGCCACAUUGGGACUGAGACACGGCCCAGACUCCUACGGGAGGCAGCACUGGGGAAUAUUGCACAAUGGAGGAAACUCUGAUGCAGCGAUGCCGCGUGAGGGAAGAAGGUUUUAGGAUUGUAAACCUCUGUCUUCAGGGACGAAAAAAGACGGUACCUGAGGAGGAAGCUCCGGCUAACUACGUGCCAGCAGCCGCGGUAAUACGUAGGGAGCGAGCGUUGUCCGGAAUUACUGGGUGUAAAGGGAGCGUAGGCGGGAUCGCAAGUCAGAUGUGAAAACUAUGGGCUUAACCCAUAAACUGCAUUUGAAACUGUGGUUCUUGAGUGAAGUAGAGGUAAGCGGAAUUCCUAGUGUAGCGGUGAAAUGCGUAGAUAUUAGGAGGAACAUCAGUGGCGAAGGCGGCUUACUGGGCUUUAACUGACGCUGAGGCUCGAAAGCGUGGGGAGCAAACAGGAUUAGAUACCCUGGUAGUCCACGCCGUAAACGAUGAUUACUAGGUGUGGGGGGACUGACCCCUUCCGUGCCGCAGCAAACGCAAUAAGUAAUCCACCUGGGGAGUACGACCGCAAGGUUGAAACUCAAAGGAAUUGACGGGGGCCCGCACAAGCAGUGGAGUAUGUGGAUUAAUUCGAAGCAACGCGAAGAACCUUACCAGGUCUUGACAUCGUAUGCAUAGCUCAGAGAUGAGUGAAAUCUCUUCGGAGACAUAUAGACAGGUGGUGCAUGGUUGUCGUCAGCUCGUGUCGUGAGAUGUUGGGUUAAGUCCCGCAACGAGCGCAACCCUUACUGUUAGUUGCUACGCAAGAGCACUCUAGCAGGACUGCCGUUGACAAAACGGAGGAAGGUGGGGAUGACGUCAAAUCAUCAUGCCCCUUAUGACCUGGGCCUCACACGUACUACAAUGGCUGUCAACAGAGGGAAGCAAAGCCGCGAGGUGGAGCGAACCCCUAAAAGCAGUCUUAGUUCGGAUUGUAGGCUGCAACCCGCCUACAUGAAGUCGGAAUUGCUAGUAAUCGCAGAUCAGCAUGCUGCGGUGAAUACGUUCCCGGGCCUUGUACACACCGCCCGUCACGCCAUGGGAGUCGGUAACACCCGAAGCCUGUAGUCUAACCGCAAGGAGGACGCAGUCGAAGGUGGGAUUGAUGACUGGGGUGAAGUCGUAACAAGGUA
rnacentral:rRNA from 1 species